CUCUCCUCCCCCUCCCGUGUCCGUUAGUGUUCUCUCCUCCUCUCCCUCCCUCACAGUGUCUUUUAGUGGUUUCUCCUGAGGUUACAUGUGGGCUUUUCUUUGUAUCCCAAACAAUUCUUCUGGCAGUUGUGGCUGAAAUCUUUUUUGGUCUACCUGACCUUGGCUUGGUAUCAAGAGAUCCUGAAUAUUCCACUUCUUAAUAAGUGAUUGAACAGUACUGAUGGAC